UCAAACUACAAAACAUCGAGGCUUACUACUUCCAUCUUAAUUCAACCCAUAAUCCAUUCUACAAUUAUCAAUUCAACAACACUUCUCUCAAUCACAAUUCUUCAUAAUUAAAUAAUAAAAAAAAUAAAGAGAUAGCACGAAGCUUAUCCCAGCUUACGACUCUCACAGUCUGGCCUCGAUCUCUCUUUUCUCAACCUAUUUAUCCUACCAAAAAGUUGAUCCAUCGGCCAGCGGAUUUCAAAGGUUAUGACCCUUUGAAUUCUUAACCAUUUAUUCCACUAACAAUCUAUUGUUAUCAACUAAACUUCCUAGCCAUUAGUCUAAUUCUUAAGGUUGUCAAUAACCAAUCGGUAACUUACCACAAAGUUUAUUUACCUAUUCUACAAUCACCUUUGUUUUAAUCCGAAGACAAUUGGUAAUUACUAUUAAGAUAUAAUUUUUUGUAGAGCCACAAUUCACAAGCACUCAACAUGCCUGUCUACUUAGUUAACUCAUUAGAUACACUAGUUGACUAUUUUGAUAGUUGUCUAAGGCUUAUUUGUUUGUCUUUGAAAAAUAUCAACUAUCUCCUAUACUGGCCC
rnacentral:lncRNA from 1 species